rnacentral:rRNA from 1 species
AUGACGCCGAUGGGACGAAGAUGCCGGCACGGAUGCCACCACGCACAUGAAAAGGACCGUUUGGCACAGCUGCUCCGCGCCUCGUCUUCCUCGUCGUGGACGCGCAUAUCUCCUGCUAUGCACCUCAGCGUGCUAGCGCCGCCACGGUGCGCGCAUGCACACAGCUGCAGCACCACGUCCGUAAUAUCGCAUCCACCAGUGCCACGCUACUGCAGCGCCCCCGCACACACAGGACACCCCGGGAAGAGAAGGAGCUCUGUGCUCGUCGACGUUGUUGCGGAUACUGAAAAAUUUGCAUGCCCGCGGUCGCUCUCGCCGCGCGUGCCGACGUCCGCAAAGCUGCAGUGGGAGGCGGCCAUGACAACCUGCUCAAGCCAGCGCGGCAUCAAGAGUAAGGAGAACGACGGGCGGGAUGAGAGCGUGCGCUCACGAGAGUGCCAGUGCGCGCGUGCAUGUUACACUAUGGUGACCCAGCGAGCGGCGAGUGUGAUGUUCAAGAUGGGUAUAGGAAAUAGAUGGAGGGCAGCGUGGAUGCUCCAGCGGAGAGCUAUGCACGCUCGCCAGUGGCCAGGUCGACGACGUUUGCCACGAGGCGCGGCUCAUCUCUUCCCGCUGCAUUUGCUCCCGCCAAUGUGCAGCUUGUUAACUCGCCACCACCUCCCCAGGAGCAUCUACCCUAUUGCCAUUGAUCGAUCUGAGAGGAAAGGGAACAUGGGGAGAGAGAUUGGAGCGAGGAAGAAGAUGACUAGCGAUGUGUUGACCCUGCGCAGCAAUGAAAGAACAAUGUUCCCGGCCAGGAUUGUGCCUUUCCUGCCCAUCCAUGAUGAUGACAAUGACCACACCGAGAGCUGGGGGCUGCUCACCCAUGGGCCAGGCCCAGUCGGCACAGCAGAGGAGGAGAAGGGCCGACCCAGGGAACGGAGGAUGCUGCUGAGCCUCGCUGGAGAGGUCAACGCACAUGGCGCGACGCUCGUCGUCUCGUUUCAGUGUUGGUCGAAGGUAGGCAGCGGUGCAGCUGCACAGGCAAGGGCGCUGGCGUCGGGGAUCGGUGCGGGAGGAGCUCGAGAGGCAGGCUGCAGAGGCGAGGCGAUGGCGCGACUGGGCCCUACACUCAGAACUACAGUCAACGGUGAUGCGGUCCUCACGCGGGUACAGGAGUGCGAGAAGUUCAAGCUCUUCUGCUCGAUGCAGAGCGAGCAAAGGCCGGCGGCGAGGCAUGGAGAUCGACGGGUCGAGGUACGAGCAAUGCGGGAGCAGAGGACGACACCAAGCUCGGGGUUGCGGAGGAGCAAGGGGCUGCGGCUGCAGACAUCGAGGGGCUCCGGCGAGACGGCAUCAACGGCAGGAGACAGCGGAGAUGGCUGGAUCCGGUCUGGCCCGAUCGAUCCGAGGCGGCGUGGGUCGAGGGAGCGCCAGGGAAGGCUCGUUCUGGCCGGAGACAAGGCCAUGGGCGAUGCUGCAUCCUGGUACAGAGAGAGAACGAGAGAGAGAGAUGAGAUACUGAGAGGAGGAAAACAGAGGAACAAGGGGGCGCGAUGGGGGCUCAUCUACUGGUGGCGCUGCUUGCGGCCAACGGCGAUGCCAGGUGUUGAGGAGGGCGGCUGGCGUCGUCGGGAAGAACACCGGCGGGGAGGAAGGACGACGAGGUGGCGAGGAGGAGAUCCUGGAGGCUCGAGAGCAACUAAUAAAGGAGUACUCUUUGGGGGAGCACCAGCAAGGAUCACUUUUGGUAGCUUAGGGAUCCUGUUCAAUCUCGAACGCGACGCAUUCAUCGGAGAGGUUCGAUGCGGGCGAUCUCGGCGGCCGCGGCUGGGGCCAUGCUGCGCGCGCGGAGUGGGCGGGGACGGCGCUGGGCGGUGGACGACACCCGGGGAGUCGCGGAAGUGGGUGGACUGGGAGCUGCCCUGCUACAUCACGUCCUUCCAUACCGUCGUCAUGCUCGGCGUCGGCCUCAACGCCAAGCCGGACCUCACCCUUGAGACCUGGGCGCACCACAGGCCCUCGAGCGCCUCCAGCAGCAGGAGCUCGCCGAAGCCGCUGCAGAAUAACCCGACGGCUAGGUCUCCCCUCCCCGAACUCAUAGACUUCUCUGACAGCCGAAAACUGUGGUUGUUUCUUGUUUAUUCCACAGCGUGGAAUAUGCCACUAUGUGUCAGACCUGGCACUGUCAAAUUCCAUGGGGGUUUCACAUUCUUGCUGAUGAAAUGUGGCCAAGUACUUCUGUUACAAAAAUCUAAUGCUAUUACCCCUCAUUCCGCUGAUUGCACGGCGCUUUCGAUGUCCAGGCAUCCAUUGCUCUCGCUCAUGGCAUUCCCUGGGAAUAUUAGAACCCUUCAACGAAGACGGUUGCCGAACAAUUAUGACCAUGCACCUCAAAGAAUACUGUCAACUGUUCGGCGACUCAACUCGUUAUCAAAGUACACCAUCAAGCCUGCGCCGAACAACGUCUGUCUCCUGACUUGA